rnacentral:lncRNA from 10 species
CUAAAAUGCAUUUUCUGAAAGAGUUUAAAAGAAAAAAUAGGGAGGUUUGGUCCAAUGGUAGUGGGUUAUCAGAACUUAUUAACACUAGUGUCACUAAAGUUGGUAUAUGACCCCCCCACUGCUAAAUUUGACUGGCUUUUUAAAAAGUGGCGGUGAGAAUUGUGAAAAGAAAAUAAAUUUACUAUGCCAAAGGAAAAAUAUUAAGCUGAAAGCUGAGUCAUGCAAGCAACUACCUUUCCUUUUGUUCCUAAGUAGAUAACUACAGAUAAAAGGUUAAAUAUUUCCACAGGUAGCUACUUUAUGUUCAUCUUAUCUUAUGUAACGUGUCAAUUUACUGAGUGUGACACCAAUACAUAAUUGACUAUUCCCUUGCUUGCUCCUUUUCUCUUGCAAUAUGUGGAUUACCAUACUCUCCCUCUUUCCUCUCUAUCCCACUUUUCUCCUUUAAAUGUUGAAGCCCUGAAAGUCAUCUUUGGAGAAAGGCACAGACUUGUUUCCCAAGCACAUCAUUCACCUUGGCAAAAUAAGCUUCUAAAUUCAUUGAGAGCUUUAUCAGAUACUUUUUCGUUCAUACUUGCUCUUUCUAGGACCUGGUAUUGUUUCUUAUAUUCUUAAAUUGCUUUGACAGUAUUGAACACCUAGUUUAUGCAAGGACUUAUAUACUAAAAAUUACCUAAGAGUGUCUCUGGUUCUGAGCUUUUUAUUUUUUUAUGACUUUUUUUUUUUUUUGGAUGGAAUUUUGCUCUUGUUGCCCAGGCUGGAG